AUAAAGAUUUGUUAGGUGAGGCUCCUAUACAAACACAGGCUACUGCCCAAAAAUGUCGAGAGACGCCAAUGGGUAGAACAGGGAUUGUCGAGUACAAGGCUUUCCAUAAGGUAGCUAAAAGAGAGUGAUUUCUUUUUACGUUGUAUAGUGCCAAAACUCAACGAAUAGAUCUCAUU
rnacentral:sRNA from 2 species